rnacentral:rRNA from 1 species
AGAGUUUGAUCCUGGCUCAGGACGAACGCUGGCGGCGUGCUUAAGACAUGCAAGCCGAAACGGGCCCGAGGCUCUUCGGGGCCUUGGUUAGUGGCGGACGGGUGAGUAACACGUGAGCAACCUGCCCUUAGGGCCGGGAUAACACCGUCGAAAAGGGGUGCGUAAAUACCGGAUAAAGGUCCCUCUUUCACAUGGGAGGGGAGGAAAGGUGGCGGACUUCCAUUGGGGUUCGGCGCCGCCGGAGGAGGGGCUCGCGGCCCAUUAGCUAGUUGGUGUGGUAACGGCGCACCAAGGCGACGAUGGGUAGCCGGCCGUGAGAGGGUGAACGGCCGACACUGGGACUGAGAC